UUAUUGCUAUUAGAUGAGCCUAUAUUAGAUUAGCUAGUUGGUGGAGUAAUAGCCUACCAAGGCAAUGAUCUAUAGCUGAUCUGAGAGGAUGAUCAGCCACACUGGAACUGAGAUACGGUCCAGACUCCUACGGGAGGCAGCAGUGGGGAAUAUUGGACAAUGGGCGAAAGCCUGAUCCAGCUAUGCCGCAUGAGUGAAGAAGGCCUUUGGGUUGUAAAGCUCUUUUAGUGAGGAAGAUAAUGACGGUACUCACAGAAGAAGUCCUGGCUAACUCCGUGCCAGCAGCCGCGGUAAUACGGAGAGGGCUAGCGUUAUUCGGAAUUAUUGGGCGUAAAGGGCGCGUAGGCGGAUUAGUAAGUUAAAAGUGAAAUCCCAAGGCUCAACCUUGGAAUUGCUUUUAAAACUGCUAAUCUAGAGAUUGAAAGAGGAUAGAGGAAUUCCUAGUGUAGAGGUGAAAUUCGUAAAUAUUAGGAGGAACACCAGUGGCGAAGGCGUCUAUCUGGUUCAAAUCUGACGCUGAGGCGCGAAGGCGUGGGGAGCAAACAGGAUUAGAUACCCUGGUAGUCCACGCUGUAAACGAUGAAUGUUAAAUAUGGGAAGUUUUACUUUCUGUAUUACAGCUAACGCGUUAAACAUUCCGCCUGGGGACUACGGUCGCAAGAUUAAAACUCAAAGGAAUUGACGGGGACCCGCACAAGCGGUGGAGCAUGUGGUUUAAUUCGAUGCAACACGAAAAACCUUACCACUCCUUGACAUGGAAAUUAUACCUAUUCGAAGGGAUAGG
rnacentral:rRNA from 1 species